AGAAAUCAUGAGUGGAGGAUCUCAAGUCCACAUUUUUUGGGGUGCUCCAGUUGCUCCACUGAAAAUGACAGUAUCAGAAGACACAGCUUCUUUAAUGUCUGUUGCUGACCCCUGGAAAAAAAUUCAGCUUUUAUACAGUCAACAUUCUUUAUAUCUGAAGGAUGAAAAACAGCACAAAAAUCUUGAAAACUAUGAAGUCCCAGAUUCUAUUGGUUCUCCAGAUCUUUGUGGUCAUUUCUUAGCAAACUGUAUGAAUAGACAUGUUCAUGUGAAAGAUGACUUUGUACGUUCUGUUUCUGAAACACAGAAUAUAGAAUCCCAGAAGAUUCACUCCUCUAGACUGAGUGGCAUAACUAGCUCUAAUAUGCAAAUAUGUGGAUUUAAAAGCACAGUUCCGCAUUUAACCGAAGAAGAAAAGUAUCAAAGCUUCUCAGUGAAAAUAAAAUUAGAGAUGAACAGCCUAAACAUCAGCCAGAUAUAUGUGGUCAGAACUUUAACACAAAUUUGUUUCAGUUGGGCCAUAAAUGUGCAGCUGUGUUGGAUUUGGUUUGUAGUACUGAAAAAAUUAAUAUAGGGCCUGAAGUGGUACAAAGAGAGUGUGUGCCAACAGAAUAUCAUGAAAUACAAAACCAGCGUUUGGGAUUAUUUUCCUCGAACUCAGUAGAUAAGUCAAGGUCUGAAGCAGCAGUUAAGAAGGUCUCAGACCUUAAAAUAUCAACUGAUAAAGAAUUUCUCAGUAUAAUUACCUCCAGCCAGGUUGCUUUUUUUAGCUCAAAAGAAAGAUAAAAGGCGGAGUCCUGUAAAUAAAGGGAAUGUAAACAUGGAGACUGAACCAAAGGCAAGUUACGGGGAGAUAAGAAUACCUGAAGAGAAUUCGAUUCAGCUUGAUGGUUUUACAGAAGCAUAUGAAAGUGGACAAAACCAAGCAUAUUCCCUUGAACUUUUUAGUCCUGUUUGUCCUAAAACAGAAAAUAGCCGCAUUCACAUAAACUCUGAUAAAGGUCUUGAAGAACAUACAGGAUCUCAAGAACUUUUCAGUUCUGAAGAUGAACUGCCACCAAAUGAGAUACGUAUUGAGUUGUGUAGCUCAGGAAUACUGUGUUCCCAACUAAAUACCUUCCACAAAAGUGCUAUUAAAAGAAGCUGUACCUCUGAAGAUAAAGUGGCCCAGUCUGAAGCUCUAUCUAGAGUCCUUCAAGUAGCUAAGAAAAUGAAGUUGAUUUCUAAUGGAGGAGAUUCUGCUGUAGAAAUGGAUCGGAGAAAUGUGUCUGAAUUUAAGAGUAUUAAAAAAAUCAUUAAUAAAAAACUGUGAUUCUAAAAGCCAGAAGUAUAAUUGUUUAGUCAUGGUGCUAUCUCCAUGCCAUGUGAAGGAAAUAAACAUAAAAUUCGGACCAAAUUCUGGCUCUAAAGUGCCUUUAGCAACAGUUACAGUAAGUGAUCAAUCAGAAACUAAGAAGAAGGUUUUUCUGUGGAGGACUGCAGCAUUUUGGGCAUUUACAGUGUUUCUUGGAGAUAUAAUUUUACUCACGGAUGUUGUUAUUCAUGAGGACCAAUGGAUUGGUGAGACAGUACUACAAUCAACAUUUAGCAGUCAGUUAUUAAAUCUUGGGAGUUAUUCAUCUAUUCAGCCUGAAGAAUAUUCCAGUGUAGUUAGUGACGUUGUACUUCAAGACUUACUGGCAUAUGUGUCCUCAAAACAUUCCUACCUCAGAGAUCUUCCUCCGAGACAGCCUCAGAGGGUGAACAGUAUAGACUUUGUAGAAUUGGAGCACCUUCAACCUGAUGUGUUAGUCCACGCAGUACUAAGAGUUGUUGAUUUCCUAUACUGACAGAGGCAGUAUACAGUUAUAGAGGACAGAAGCAGAAAAAAGUUAUGUUAACAGUGGAACAGGCCCAAGAUCAACAUUAUGCGCUUGUAUUAUGGGGUCCUGGAGCAGCCUGGUACCCUCAACUUCAAAGGAAAAAAGGAGUGGUUCUAAUUAAAGCCCAGAUUUCAGAGCUGGCAUUUCCUCUUACAGCAGCUCAGAAGAUAUCUCUAAAUGCUCACAGUUCUCUGAAGAGUAUUUUUUCUUCUCUUCCCAACAUCAUAUAUACUGGCUGUGCAAAAUGUGGAUUGGAACUAGAAACAGAUGAGAACAGGAUCUACAAACAAUGUUUUAGCUGCUUGCCAUUUACUAUGAAGAAAAUAUAUUAUAGGCCAGCGUUAAUGACUGCCGUUGAUGGAAGACAUAAUGUUUACAUCCAUGUAGAAUCAAAGCUGAUAGAGAAGAUUCUUCUCAACAUUUCUGCAGACUGCCUCAACAGAGUGAUAGUUCCUUCCUCAGAGAUCACCUAUGGGAUGGUUGUGGCAGACCUGUUCCACUCCUUGUUGGCAGUCAGCGCAGAACCUUGUGUAUUGAAGAUUCAGAGCCUUUUUGUGUUAGAUGAAAACAGCUAUCCAUUACAACAAGAUUUCUCCCUCCUGGAUUUUUAUCCUGACAUGGUAAAGCAUGGAGCCAAUGCCCGUCUCUGAGGCCAGAGGAAGAAAUUGCAGGCAUUUCAAGGAAGAAGUACUGAAAUGAUUUGUCUUUUGAAAUAAAUGAAUGACAGGGCUUUUGCUUUGGAUUUUUUAUGAAAUAUAUUUUACAAAGAGAAUUGCACUAGAUAUAUAAAUUAAAACUUUUUUCUAAGAAAAUCCUGUGAGGUUUAAAAAGAUUGUUUUUGUCUUUUGGUUUCUUCCUUUCUUCUGGAGAAAUGAUCUACCAGUCAAGGCAAUAUGUAGCAGAUCCCUGGGAAUUAAAGGUUUGCCCAUUUGUUCACUGUAUUUAGUCCCUGCUACAUUCCAGGCAUCGUACUAAGUAUGGGGAACCACAGAGAAGACACUCCUUCAGAAACUGCUGCAGUGCUUUCGCUUAUCCCUACCUAAAAAACCGUCAAUGUGAAAUCAUUUCCUUGAUUAUAACUAUAAUGAUAAUGGAUUAGUUUAUAUAAACCUAUGUUUAGACAAGUUCAAGACAAGCGUGUCUUUCUAUAAAAAGUAUUGAAAGUGAAGGAAAUGAGAUCAUGUUUCAAUUUAUUAAAGCAGGGAAGAGCGUUCUGUGGUUAGUUCGUGUCUAGGAUUUGAGUGCCUUACUGAAUGUAUUUACCAGCAAACAUGUAGCAAUCUGUUCUCUCAUUGUGAUUGUGGAAGAAGCUCAUGUAAAAUGAUAGUCAUUAAUGAGGAAGUAUGGCGUGGUACUUAUUCUGUAAGUUCAGAGUAUGCUGAGUGUUAAUAGAUUGUCAUAUUGCCUGAAAAUAAAUUCAUGAUGACAUGAA